UUUUAUGAUGAUUUAAAUUUUAUCACGACGGUCUACAUAGCUUAUGCGUUGAUGAGACUGCCGGUGACACGGCUUUGAUUCUGAUA
rnacentral:snoRNA from 1 species